rnacentral:rRNA from 1 species
UACAGGGGGUGCAAACGUUGCUCGGAAUCAUUGGGCGUAAAGCGCACGUAGGCGGUUCGUUAUGUCGGAUGUGAAAGCCCUUGGCUCAACUGAGGAAGUGCAUCCGAAACUGGCAGGCUAGAGUACUAAAGAGGAUCGCGGAAUUCCCGGUGUAGAGGUGAAAUUCGUAGAUAUCGGGAGGAACACCGGUGGCGAAGGCGGCGAUCUGGGUAGAUACUGACGCUGAGGUGCGAAAGCGUGGGGAGCAAACAGG